AUGAAGACCAAGGGCCCAUACCCUGUCCACAAGGGUGGGGGGCGCGCCCCCUCCUGGGCGCGCCCCCCUACCUCGUGGGCACCUUGGAAACCCUCCGACGCCAAUUCCAACUCUAUAUAUUCGCUUUCGGAGAGAAAAAAAAUCAGAGAGAAGAAAUCAUCGUGUUUUACGAUACGGAGUCACCGCCAAUCCCUAAAACCUCUCGGGAGGGCUGAUCUGGAGUCCGUUCGGGGCUCCGGAGAGGGGGAUUCGUCGCCGUCAUCAUCAUCAACCAUCCUCCAUCACCAAUUUCAUGAUGCUCACCGCCAUGCGUGA
rnacentral:rRNA from 1 species